rnacentral:rRNA from 1 species
GAUGAACGCUGGCGGCGUGCCUAAUACAUGCAAGUCGAGCGAACAGACGAGGAGCUUGCUCCUCUGACGUUAGCGGCGGACGGGUGAGUAACAGGUGGAUAACCUACCUAUAAGGCUGGGAUAAGGUCGGGAAACCUGAUCUAAUACCGGAUAUUAUAUUGAACGGCAUGGUUCAAUAGUGAAAGACGGUUUGGCUGUCACUUAUAGAUGGAUCCGCGCCGCAUUAGCUAGUUGGUAAGGUAACGGCUUACCAAGGCAACGAUGGGUAGCCGACCUGCGAGGGUGAUCGGCGACACUGGAACUGAGACACGGUCCAGAGUCCUACGGGAGGGCGCAGUAGGGAAUCUUCCGCAAUGGGCGAGAGCAUGACGGAGCAACGCCGCGUGAGUGAUGAAGGUCUUCGGAGCGUAAAAAUCUCUUAUUAGGGAAGAACAAAUGUGUAAGUAAACAUGCACGGAUUGACGGUAACUAAUCAGAAAGCCACGGCUAACUACGUG